rnacentral:sRNA from 1 species
AUUGGGAGGACCCUGCCUAGGGGACUUAGGGAGGAAGGAAGGACGAGGCCGGACACCCCGGCGCGCACACACACCUGCUGUCCAGGUAAGCCUCAGCCGGUGCUGCAGGCAGUCUGACUCGCAGUCCCUCAAGUGACUUCCAAGGAGCAUCUGUAGAAAAGAAGAUGGCCCAGGUCCUGCACGUGCCUGCCCCCUUCCCAGGGACCCCUGGCCCAGCCUCCCCACCUGCCUUCCCUGCCAAGGACCCCGAUCCACCCUACUCCGUGGAGACCCCGUAUGGCUACCGCCUGGACCUGGACUUCCUCAAGUACGUGGAUGACAUCGAGAAGGGCCACACGCUGCGACGCGUGGCAGUGCAGCGCCGCCCCCGCCUGAGCUCGCUGCCCCGUGGCCCUGGCUCCUGGUGGACGUCCACUGAGUCGCUGUGCUCCAAUGCCAGUGGGGACAGCCGCCACUCAGCCUAUUCCUACUGCGGCCGUGGCUUCUACCCUCAGUAUGGUGCUCUGGAGACCCGCGGUGGCUUCAAUCCGCGGGUGGAGCGCACGCUGCUGGAUGCCCGUCGCCGUCUCGAGGACCAGGCGGCCACACCCACCGGCCUGGGCUCCCUGACCCCCAGUGCGGCCGGCUCGACAGCCUCCCUGGUGGGCGUGGGGUUGCCACCCCCGACACCACGGAGUUCAGGACUGUCUACACCGGUGCCUCCCAGUGCCGGGCACCUGGCCCACGUGCGGGAGCAGAUGGCGGGUGCCCUGCGGAAGCUGCGGCAGCUGGAGGAGCAGGUGAAGCUGAUCCCUGUGCUCCAGGUGAAGCUCUCGGUGCUCCAGGAGGAAAAGCGGCAGCUCACAGUACAACUUAAGAGCCAGAAGUUCCUGGGCCACCCCACAGCGGGCCGGGGUCGCAGCGAGCUCUGCCUGGACCUCCCCGAUCCCCCAGAGGACCCAGUGGCACUGGAGACCCGGAGUGUGGGCACCUGGGUCCGAGAACGGGACUUGGGCAUGCCUGAUGGGGAGGCUGCCCUCGCCUCCAAGGUCGCUGUGCUGGAGACCCAGCUCAAGAAGGCGCUGCAGGAGCUGCAGGCAGCUCAGGCCCGGCAGGCUGACCCUCAGCCCCAGGCCUGGCCACCGCCGGACAGCCCGGUCCGCGUGGAUACAGUCCGGGUGGUAGAAGGGCCACGGGAGGUGGAGGUGGUGGCCAGCACAGCCGCUGGCGCCCCCGCACAGCGGGCCCAGAGCCUGGAGCCUUACGGCGCAGGGCUGAGGGCCCUGGCAAUGCCUGGUAGGCCUGAGAGCCCACCUGUGUUCCGCAGCCAGGAGGUGGUGGAGACAAUGUGCCCAGUGCCCGCUGCAGCUACCAGCAACGUCCAUAUGGUGAAGAAGAUUAGCAUCACAGAGCGAAGCUGCGAUGGAGCAGCAGGUAAGCGGUCGCAGGCAGGCAGGGGAGAAUGGCUUGGGUGGGGGGGCCUCUUUCUUCCCAUGGCUCAUCCUGGACUCUCAGAAUGCCAGGGUCCAGGCAGGGUGCGGUGGCGCAUGCCUGUAAUCCCAGCACUUUGGGAGGCCGAGGCGGGCAGAUCACUUGAGGUCAGGAGUUGGAGACCAGCCUGGCCAACAUGGUGAAACCCAUCUCUACUAAAAAUACAAAAAUUAGCCAGGUGUGGUGGCGUGCGCCUGUAACCUCAGCUACCCAGGAGGCUGAGGCAGGAGAAUCGCUUGAACUGGGGAAGCGGAGGUUGCAGUGAGCUGAGAUUACACCACUGCACUCCAGCCUGGGCAACAGAGGGAGACUCUGUCUCAAAAAAAAAAAAAAAAAAAAA